GACGAACGCUGGCGGCGUGCCUAAUACAUGCAAGUCGAACGCAGUGGGGACGGGUGAGUAACACGUGGGUAACCUCCCAUCAGACGGGAUAACACUUGGAAACAGGUGCUAAACUGAUACUGAUGGAUGGACCCGCGGUGCAUGAGCGAGUUGGUGAGGUAACGGCUCAACAAGGCCACGAUGCAUCGCCGAGCUGAGAGGGUGAUCAGCAACACUGGGACUGAGACACGGACCAGACUCCUACGGGAGGCAGCAGUGGGGAAUCUUAGCAAAUGGGCGAAAGUCUGACCGAGCAACGCCGCGUGAAUGAAGAAGGUGUUCGGAUCGUAAAACACUGUUGUUGGAGACGCGGUAUCUAACCAAAAAGCAACGGCUAACUACGUGCCAGCAGCCGCGGUAAUAC
rnacentral:rRNA from 1 species